GGAAGAAGAAUUAAGAGUUUGUUAUUAAGUUCUCUAAUUGGGAGCAUUUGUAAACACAGUUAUGGGACUUAGUUCGUGUUAUUUAGAUGUUUCUGUCAUAUUUAACAAACAGUUGCUAUUGAAAAUACAUUAAUUUCAUUGUUUUUAAUAAACUUGUUUCAUGUGUAAUUUUUCUUAAUACGCAUUUGAAAUUUUUUUUUCUCUUGCUAGAUAUAACACGGAAAAGUCCCAGAACACCUCUUUCUGAUCUCCAGGGCAUGAAUGCUCUGAAUGAACAAAACCAGCAAAUUGGACGUGAACAUGAUGGACUUGAUCCACAGUUUCUGACAUGAACACGAUGCGAUCUUGAUGCACAGUUC
rnacentral:lncRNA from 1 species